rnacentral:rRNA from 1 species
UACGAAGUGGGCUAGCGUUGUUCGGAAUCACUGGGCGUAAAGGGCGCGUAGGCGGCUUUAUAAGUCGGGGGUGAAAGCCUGUGGCUCAACCACAGAAUUGCCUUCGAUACUGUAGAGCUUGAGACCGGAAGAGGUAAGUGGAACUGCGAGUGUAGAGGUGAAAUUCGUAGAUAUUCGCAAGAACACCAGUGGCGAAGGCGGCUUACUGGUCCGGUUCUGACGCUGAGGCGCGAAAGCGUGGGGAGCAAACAGG